rnacentral:antisense_RNA from 1 species
GUCCCGCUCCCCGUCGCCCCACGCCGCCCUCGUCGCCGCGCCCAGACCCCUGCGGAGGACGCAGCCGCUCGGGACUCGCUGCGAGCUGGUUUCGGAUCCAUCCCGCCUCUCGGCGUCUCACUGUGUGCCCUACCCUUUGAAACACGCCCCCGCCCCCGCCCCCGCCCCGCCCCGCCGCAGACCCGGCAGCGAGGAAGCCCACAGUCUCCGGGGGCGCUGCGCGCGGAGCAGCACGUGCUUCGCGAAACACCGCAGCCCCCAGGUCCCGCCCCGCCCGGCGCGCGCACUCGAACCCGCCCAGAGAGCGGUGCGUGGCGCUGGGUGCGAGCAGGGUCUGGCCACCCCCACCCUCACCCCACCCUCACCCCACCCCACCCCACCCACCUGCUUUUUUCAGGUUCAUCAAGGUUUGCGCAGUGGAUCCGCAAAUGAAGCCAGCCUGGAAGAUCCCCAGUCUCGAGACAGAGCCUGACAGGGGCAGAUGCUCUGGAAGGACCCUGUCUGGGUUCAGCAACCAAGCAGGCAUCCUGGCCCCACAGGUGUGGGACUUCUGGGUCUUCUCCUGGCUGGCUUCUUGCUAGAGGAUUUCAAGAGACCCAGCAAGACUGUGUUGUCCCACUGAAUGCUCAAGAUACUGGUUAGAAGUAGAAAAGGGGAGUGGGUAGUAUUUAGCCUCUGUCCCCACUAAAAAUUAUUCCCAAUUGUCAUUUGUGUCAUCUGUUUAGCUUACAGUUUUAAUCCUUGUCAAAAUGAUCAUUUGCCAGGGUGCAUAAACCACCCUGUUUGAUGAGAACUGGUUUUAAAGGAAAAUGGGGCCAUCAGAAGGAAGCCGGUUGGUGUGAAGAGACGUCUGGGAAGAGCCCCUGGCGAGGGCCCUCAUUCCACUGGGUGACCCAGAAGGAGAAAACCGCAAUGGCGCUUCUCAUUUGAAAUGUUUUCUUUAUGGACAGUGUUUAGCAAUUGUUAUAAUGUGUACUUUUGUUGACGGAUCUGUAUAAAUAUGUAAAAUAAUUUGUUCUGAGUUAAUUUUGUUGGAACAAAGACUUUAGUGCUUCCUAAAUUAAAACAUUUUACUGUAUUGCCUGCA